CGCGAGAAUUCAGCGAGACCAACAUGCUACAGGUGAAAAUCGAGAGAGAAAUUCAACAUGAAAAAAGAGGUACAGCUGUAGAGUACAUUUUGAACAGCCAUCUCCAGGAUAUACUCUGAAGACUG